UCUGAUGGACUGGAACGUGUUGAGGCGGGCGGUGGAAAAUAUCUCGAUCGUGGUGAGGCGGCGGAGGUUGCGCCAGUAGUCGCCGUAGGGGGCGACGACGACGGAGCUGAAGUUGUAGCCGAUGUAUUUGGCGGAGACGAAACGAGGGCGGUUGGCCAGAACGAUGUCGUUCUUGGUGAAGCAUUCGUCGACGGCGGCGGGGGAGGAGACCACCACGAUGAGGCGGUUGCCGAAGCGGAGGGAGAAAAUGGGGCCGAGUUUGAGAGAGAGGUCGCGGUAGGUGCGGUGGAGAGGGAAUCGGAGGAGGUGGAGGUGCCCUAGAAGAGGGAGUGCCGGCAGUGGGCUAGGUGGGAUUUUUCUAUUUUGUUUGGUUAAAAAUUUAUAAGCUAUGGUAAAAAGCAAGAGAGCAGAGAGGGAGUAUAGCCAGCUUGUUUCCAUGCUUGAUUUUGGUGCUAAAUGUAGAUGUGGAUUGGGAUGUGUGUGUGUGUGUUGCUAGCUACUUCUUCCUCACCCUAUUUAUAGGUUGAAAUCACCGACUUAGAUAUUCCGUUUGGUAUUUAUAAAGUAAUAAUUGGUACAAUGGAGUGAAGUAGAUAAUGGAAGAGGGAUUAUUCGUAUGUUCAUUUUAUUCAUUUGUUUGGUAUGUCUUACGAUUGAAAAAUCACUAUUUCAUGCAAAAUCACUAUUUCCUUUCAAACGAGAAUAGUCAUUCCUCCGCGAGCCCCCGGAAUGAGAUUCAGUGUACCAUAUUUUAUGUUCCACUUUGUGUCCCACUUUCAAAUUUGUACAUAGUGCAAUUGUAAUUGAUAACUAAGUAAUUACUACUUUAAACUAUAUUCCUCUAUUUGGAUGAAUAGAAAUUUGGAGUUGGUUUUAAUUAAUAAUUAAAAUAAACAAGAGCAAUAAAAUCACACAAGCUAGCACAUGGGAGAAAAAACAGGAGAUAAAGAUUUCCUAGAGCUUUGGUUUUAACAAAUUCAAGAAAUCAAAUAAAUCCGGUUCAAUUAAUCAUUCGAGGACUCAAUUCUUCCUAAGACAAUCACAAAUUAAGUUUAUAUUCUCGAUAUCAAAUUAAUGAUAAUAAUCAUUCAAAAUUGGUGGCCAAUCAAUCAAGUAAACAAUAAGCACAAUAAUAUGAAAAUGAAUUCAUCAAACCAAAUCAAUUAGAAAUCCAUAAUCUGUUUACUCCCUAACCCUAGGACAAAGAUUACUAACUACGCAUAGACAUUUGAACUAGCAAAAAUAAAUCAAAUGAAAAGAAAUCAUCCAAUAAAUAAAUCGUCAACAAAUGAUGAAUCCUGCUCCAACUCUGUAGAUAUAUAUUCUCUUUGUGUCUUCUAUCAAGUUCUUGAAUGUGAGAAUAGCAAAUGUCAUGGUUGUCCUUUUCUUGAUGCUUUCAAUGAGCAUUUAUAGAUCAGAGUGUCAGAUACUGAAGAAAUGAAGUGAAAAUCGAUUUUCAGGCCAGAAAUCCGUCAAAACGCGGUCAAAUCCAACAAACACAUGGCCCAUACAUGUGGUUGAGCGUCUCGGCCACAUAGGAUUUUUCAGCUUAAUUAUUUGUGCAGUGAUUUUGUUUCAGCCUGUUCUCCCUCGUCUUAAAUUUGAUUUUCGGUCCGUUUGCGCCCAUGAAAUCUUAUUGAGAUGAACUCCAACUUCCAUUUAAAUCAUUUUUCCAAGUAAAGCUUCAAUAAUAUUCCUGAAAAUUCACUCAAACAACAAAAAAGUAACAAGUUCUUGUCAAUAAACCAAUAUACAUUCAAAUUAACCAUCAACACAUAAAAUUCUCAUGACUAGACAUCAAAUAUGACAUACCAAAAAACAAAAUACAUCUUUAUCAUAUCACAUCCACCUUUUAACAGGAUGACGACGAUGAUCCAAUUCUAAUAACUUUCUUUCAUUCAUUAAAAACUAUCAAAGAAAAGUGAAAUACGAAUUGGAACACUAUGAUGGAAUGGAAUGAGUGGAAAACGGAACGCAGGUAGGAAUGGUAUAAAAAUAGAGAUGGAAUGAUAAUCUUAAUCAAUUCCUAUACUUGGUGUGCACAAAGAACACUAAAUAAAAUCAUUAUUCAUUUAUAUAAAAUUACUAUUUUAUAUCAUUCACCUCUCUCUCAAAACAAAUUUAGAGAGACAAAGUAUGGACAGAAGAAAUUUUUAGAGAAAAAAUUUUAGAAAAUAAAAAUAAUAAAGAGAGAGAGAAAAAAAUUUUGGAGGUAGAAAAUUCUUGAAAAAGAAAAAUUUGCAGAGAUAAAUUUUGUUCAUUUCAAAGUUUAAGGUUUGUUUCUCUAAAAUUUUCUGUUUCUAAAAUUCACCGUCUAAAUUUUUUCUUUUUUAAAUUUUCUUUCUAUAAAUUAUGUGUCAAUAAUUUUAUCAACCUAAAGUAUCCCUAUGGAUAAAUUUUCACCCUCUAAAAAUAUCACUUUCAAAAAUUUACGCACAGUUUAAAAUUUCAUUUUUAAAUUUUCUCUUUCAAAGUAGUUUCUGUCUUAAAAAGUUUAGAGACCCAAAAAAAUUUUCUCUCUAAAUUUUUCUUUCUCUAUAAUUUUCUUUCCUAAUAAUUUUCUUCUUCUAAACUUUACUCUCUUUAAAAAUUUAUCCCUCUAAAUUUACACUUCUAGAUUUCAUCUCUAUAAAUUUUCUCUCACUAGAAAUUAAAUGUCUACUUCUUUACUAUUUUUUUUCUUUAAAAACAUUUCUUUUACUAGUACUUUUUCUCUCAAUAUAUAAUUUUCUCUUUUUAAAAUUUCCUCACUCUAAUUAUAUAUAUAAUUAUUUAAUUAAAUAAUUAUAUAUAGAUGAAUAAUUAGAUCAAAUAAUAAAAUACAUGAGAUCCAGUGUCCCACAAUCUUAUGUGUACCACUGUGUCUCAUUCUUAUAUUUAUUAUUUUAAAAAUAUUUUUUAUAAAAAUAAAAUUUAUUAUAAUACUAUGAAUUAUAUUUAAUUUUUAUUUCAAAAAAUUAAAAUUUUUAAAAAUAUAUACCAUGACGUAGAAUUUAUCAACCUAUUAUUAACUAAUAAAAGUGAAAUUAAAUGAUAAAAAAAUUAUAUACCCUAGAUUGAUGGAAUAAACCCUAAUUAAUAAUCACAAAAUUAAACUAAAGCAUACAAAAUUGAAAUUGAAUAAAAAAAAUUUAAGAAAUUGAACAAAUUUGAAAGUGGGACACAAAGUGGGACAUAAAGUAUGGUACACUGAAUCUCAUUCCGUACACUUGCGGUGUGAAAUAAAUUAGCAAACAUGAUCUUUUGUCCCAAAUCUUAUGUCCCAUCAUUUGUGUCUCACUAUUGAUUUUAUUAUUUUGAUAAUAUUUAUUAUAUGAUGAGGACUGUAAUACCCAUCAGCGUUGUGCUUAGCAAUCUAAGCCUAUUUUACCUUAUUAUUAUUAUUAUAUAAACUAACCAGCGCAGGUUUGCCUAAAAAGACUUGCUAAUAAAUGAAUAUGAAGAGUCAAUCAGCCUUGACCAAAGUGCAGAGAUGCUGCCUUGCUAAAGUACAACACCACCUGCGCAGCACCGCAGCGCAGCAGAACAGCAGCACAGCAGCGCAGCCCAACAGCACAGCCAGAGCGCAGAGCUGGUCUUACUAGAGCCGGAGUUACCCGCUUCACCAACGAAGGACAGCGUAAAUGGGUCAAAUCAAGAUCAUUAAAGGGUAUAAAUCCAACUAUUAGAGUUCAUGGGCCUAAGGCCUUUAGGGUUCAUUCUCACAACUAUAAAUAGGAGGUUUAGCAUUAGCAUAAAGGGGGGAAUCAACUCAUUCGAGCAACACACUUGUAAAAUGUAAACUUUCUUGAGCUAUAGUGAAAACCGACGAAGAACCUCCCGUGGAUGUAGGUCUUUGAUGGCCGAACCACGUAAAUCCGUGUGCCGUUUAUCGCUUUCUAGUUUCUAGUUUAGGUGUUGGUGAUUCUGUGCCUCACCAUUAUAAAAUAAAAAAUUAUAAUCUAGUAAUGAUCUUAAUUAACAUUAUUUAUUAAAAACUAAUUUUUUAAAAAUUUAUAUAUCCUAAUUUUGGAAUAAUCAACACAAAUAAUCAUUUUUUAAACUUAAACCUGCAAAUUAAAUAUAAAAAUAUUAUAAACCCUAACUUGAAUUAGUGAACCCUAGUUAAUGAUUGUGAAAUUAAAAUAAAUUACAAUAUAUUGAAAUUGAGCAAAAAUAAUUAAUAAUUAAUUGUGGGACACAUAGUGAAACAUCAAAUUGAACUAGGAGUUUUCCCUCGCCUUAUUUAAAUGGUGAAAAUACGAACUUGAGAUCCUCUAUCCCAUUUUUGGUGUCCCACAUUCAAUAUUUUUUAUAUAAUUUUUAUUUUUUUUUUAAUUUUAAUUUUUAUAUUUUGAGUAUAUGUAAUUUAUAAGUUAAUUAACUAGGAUCCACUUAUUUAAUUAGGGUUUAUAAUUUUUUUUAUAUUUAUUUUUAAUAUUUAAAAUUAAUAAUUCAUUAUUAGCUUCAUCCCACAAAUGAGUACCCAUAUUUUAUUUUUGGUGCGUAUUAUAAAUGUACUUAUUUUUCUUUUUGAUGAGUAUACUACACACAACUCACUCAUAACAAAAGCAAGACUCUUAUGUUGCUCAUAAACACUCAAUCAAUUUUUCUUAAAAUUCGUGUCAUUUUCAUAUAUGUACUCAUUUUGGGAUUGAUGGAGUAUAAUUUUUUUAAUUUUAUUUUUUUGUGAUAAAUAUUAAUUAUGAUUCAUUAUAUUAAUAAUAUUUUUUAUUUUCAUAAUUAAAUAAAAUUAAUGAUAUGAAACCAUGCGACACCCUAAAACUGCAAAAGAUAGGAUUUGAUCAAAAAAUGACGUGGCUGCACUACAUCAAGUGAUCAACCUUGAAGAUAAGUAAUUUUGUCGUAAUCAAAGUGUCAUUUUCUAUGAAAAAACAAUAGCCUUAAGAAGCAAAAGCUCGAUUGAACUAGUAUGUCACUAAGCUGCUUUGUUUCUUGGACAUGAUGUUGUGAUGUAAGCAAUGACCAAAGCAAAUCGGAUAAAUUGAGGUCGAGUUCAUUUCUUACGGGUCAACAUUUUAGACUUUACUGUGCGUAGCAGUCGAGAUUCACAUAUUCUGAUUAUGAUGGUUGUCACAUGGAUUAUUGAAAACAGAAAUGGAAAUCUUAUUGAAAACAAAAAUGGAAGCCUUGUUCCUGGUGAUGAAUGAUGAUGGAAUUUAUUUUCCAAAAUCGGAAUUAACUAAGACUAUAUUUUGGGAUUGUGGUGGAUUUAUCAUAUAAAUGUUCCUUUACAACCGUUGGGGUUUGUUACUUGUUUUGGAUCAAUUUUGUUGUGCUUAGCUUAUGUUUGGAUCCAAAGCAAUCUACAUGAGAAUUAGAGAAACCGAAAAAACAGCAUAUGUCUGCACAAGAUAAAUGAAAUAAGGAAGAAAAUGACAGGUUGAUGUAUAAAAUUGUAUAGUAAUUUUACAAAAUUAAUAAAAUUACCUCUGCAGACCAAAUUAAGAACAGGAAUGAGAAGUCUAUUGAACAUGUUUAUGCUUUGGUAAAUUUUCAGAAAAUGAAAAUGGUCAAGGUUGGCAGGUGAAAUAAACAAAAUGAGUUCUGGGAUGAUGCAUCAUACAUGACUGAGCACAAUAUGUGGCUGAAGCAGAUUACAACACGUAAAGAUCUCAUCUUAAAAAUAAAAGUCAAUUAAUAAUUAUGAUUCACAAUAUAUCUACAAAAUUUAUGGCCUUUCAUAGCUAUAUUAAACUUUUAGUCCAAUAGCAAAAUAAAUAAUACAAAAUUUGAAUUAAAGUUUUGAUAACGAAAUUUUUAUUUCUGAGAUGUCUAUAUAUAAAAGAGGAGGUUUUUCUCUCCAACUUUUUUCUCCAUUUUUUUCUUUCUUCUUUCACUAAAUUUUUCACUAUUUUUUUCUUUAUUUUUUUUUCUAAACUUCAUCAAAUUUAUUCAUGAAAAAAUACUUAAUAUACUACAUCUUAAAUUUAAGUUCGUGAAAAAAAAAUUAAUAUGGUAUUAAAAAAUCAUCAAAAAUGAAUUUAAAAUGAAUAAAUUAUGAAAAAUUAAAAUUAAAAAUAUUUUAUUUUUUCUCUCUUCAUUAACAUUUUACAAUUUUCUAUUUAUAUUUUUUUAUGAAAAUAUUGAUUUAUUUAUCAUGAAGCUUAAUACUCUAUUAUAAUAAUAAUAAUAAUAAUAAUAAUAAUAAUAAUAAUAUUAAUGUGUAAUGUCAAUUUUCAUCAUCAAAUAAUUUAAAUAUAUUUAAUAAUUAUAAUUAUCAUUAUAUUUUAUACAAAGUUAUACGUUUCAAAUUCAAGAUUUUAUUAAGUAAUUGAUGUAGAUUAUUUUAUUUUAUUAUUAAAAUAUACUUUUCAUUUGUUUAUAUUUUAAUUUUAUUGAAUAAUUUUUUUAUUAUUAAAUAUGUCAUUUAAUUUCAAUGUUCGACGUGCAUUGCACGAAUGGACGUUCUAAUAAUAUUUAAUUCAAAGUCAUUCAUUUGAUUAGGGGCGUGAUAAAGACAAUUCAUAAGUUCGAUACAUAAGAUAUUUUCAUAAAAUCUCACAUUUUGAAAUGUAAAUAAUGCACAAUAAAUAAUUUAGUUUGGAUUGUCACAGAAAAUUCAUAUGUUUUUGUAAUCAUUUUUUUAUUGACUAAUUGGAGUGGAUUAUUUUAAUUUUUUUAAAGUUAAUUAAUUUAUAUUUAUUUAUAUUUUGAUUAUAUUUAAUAUGUAUAUUUAUUACUUUAAAAUGUCAUUCAAUUUUUAUGUUGGUCGUGCAUCGCAAUAUAACAUAUGACAUUCAAAAAAAAAUCAUAGGACGAAUGGAGUAUUUAAUUGUAUUGAAUAUUACUAUAACUAAAUCAAUGAAAGAAAGAACUUUGACAGUGACAAUUGUCAUAAAUGAAUUUAACAUGGAUUUCUCGAAAACGAUAGUUUAUUAUACAUAAAUUUACAUGUUCAUUUGAAAAGCAAGAAAAAUCAACCGGCGGAAGUGUAUAUUUAAGUCUCCUUGAGCACUUCGAUUUUAUUUUAAUUUGUAUUGUACUCGUGUGAUGUACAGUUUAUAAAUGUGAAAACUUUAUAUAUAGUUAAUUAGUUAUAAAUAAUCAAUAUAUAACUAAUAAAAUAAUAUAUUAAAAAUACUUGUAUUAUAAAAUACAGAACAUUAUAAAAUUUUCACAUAACAAAAAUUUCACAGAGUAUAUGUAAAAUUUUCAGCAUCCUUUUCACAUAUCAAAAUUUUUGGACCUCGACAAUUGAUAACCAUUGAUACAAUCACAUACAAAUUGUCCAUGACUAAAAGCAUGUCUCUUCUAGUACAAUCCAACAUGAGAAAAAGAUUGGUCUUGACUUUUAUUAAUCGUCAUCGCAUAAGACACAAAUAAUAAAAAAAACUGACGAUGUUGGAUCUUGAAUGACAACUUGGAUCUAACGUAGUCAACGAUAACCAAGGUAUCAAAACCUUUCUUAAGCAUUAUGUUCGCUCAACAAUGUUCCUUCUAAAACUCUCAUACCAAGUCUAGUGAUAAUCAAUCUUACUAUAUUAUCUUGUGUUCUAAGUAAAUGAUCUAACUUUACUUUAAAAAUCCAACAAAAUUAUAUUAGGACGAUCUUGAAGUCUUAAAUUUCUAUCACUAAGAUACCUCGUAAUUUUAGGCCACAUUGAAUUGCAAGUAAAUGUGAGACCAAUUUAGAAUACCCAAGCCCACUACAUAUAGUCAUUGCAUCUUGAUCAUUUUUAAUGAUAUAUCGAGCACCAUCAGUGAAACUCGAUGGUAGAAUGACUCUUUUUACCUACCUGACUGGAUCAUUUUCACCCCUCAAUAAUGUUUCUAUCAAACCUUUAUAAAUAUCACACCACAACUUUUUAUGGUGAUGACGAAUAUAUAAUAGUCUACCAAUUUCAAUCAUAGAGUAAGCAUCAACAAUAAAUUGUUGGAAAAGACGCUUACAGAAUAAAAGUAUAGAAAAUUCACCAACUUUCUCAAAUAUGCAAUAAAUUACUUUAUGAUGAUUUUCUUUCGAGCAAAGCUCAUGAACCAACAUUAUUAUAGAAACAUUUCUUUAUAUCCAUCCCCACUAUAAGGAAAAAUUAAUGGAUACUACAACGUAAGAUACAAUAGAUCACUACAAAAAAGCGUCGAUUUACCGGCGGCAGCUCCGCCGCCGGCAAUUACCGGCGGCUUUCCGACGGCGGAGCGGCCUGAUAACACUCAUGUUUCCAUGAUUUUUAAUGUUCUUAUGAUGUUAAUUUUAUAGGAAAUUGAGUGUUUGAUGAUUGUUUUGUGCUUAAAUUGCUUUAUAUUGUGAAAUAUGUUACUUGCUCGUACUUUGAUGAAUUUUACAGAAAUAUGAAGUUCAAAUUUUGUUGGGAACCUUGUGGAAUAUCCUAACCCUUGUUUUGAUGAUACCAAAAUUCAUAGGACUUAUUUGUAAUAGACUAGAACCGUUUUGAACUCAAGUGUUAGAGUUCGUUUCUAGUUUAGUUGCGGUGUCGAAGACUGAAGACUGAAGACUGAAGAAUCAAGACUGAAGACUGAAGACUAAAGACUGCAGAUACCAACUGAAGUAUCAGUUGAAGAAUCAGUUGAAGACUGAUUAUUUAAUGCGCGCAAUGGACUGAUACUAAAGUCAAGUAUCAGUUGAACAUUCCUCCUAGGACUGAUCUUCCAACGUUCAGAGGAAUCCACGUACGCACAAGUACAGCCGCAUUAAAUGCAGGGAUCUCAAUAUCUUAUCUCUGCAGAGGUCAUUCCUAUCUGGUGGUUACUUUUCAGAGAUAUCACAUCUCCUGUCCAUCAAAUAGAGCCGUUUCCACACAGACAAGGAACCUCGAAGAUUGAAGCCUCAGCCCAAAUUCGAAUUGCUCUCCAACGGAAGAAAUCUUGAGGACGAUUUACGCCAACGGAUCUAUUCAAGAGUUCUCCUACAAAUAGCGCUUGAGGAUCACUUCAACCUUCACCGAUUCAACAACAUAAGCUGAAGCUCUGCCGAAAUAGCUACUCAGCCUAAAGCUUAAUCGCCCAAAGCUUGAAUCGAAGAAGAGAAUUCCAAAGCCAAAAUCAGUCACUGCUGAUUACAUACAUUCUCUUAGACCCUAGGCAUAUAUCUGUUUACCCAGAAGCCAAAGGUCAAACUUGCUUCAAAGAACUUGUUCUUUGUAAGUAUAGUUGGCACUCGUUUAAACCUCUCCCCCAUAAGAGUGUUUGAGUGGUUCGGAGUUCAGGAAGGUACUCUGAACUCUGAGUGAAAAGUCUGAGCACGAGGUGUGCUUAGCAGGGAAAUCCUACGCGAGGUGUGUGGGUGCUGAAGAGGGUUAUCUUCAGUUUACGGUUGUGUGCACCAGGCAAGCACACGGGUACGGUUUGCAGUGCACCAGUGAAGCACUUGCGGAGUGGAUUGUUGGUCUGAUCAACCAGCCAUGGAUGUAGGAAAGGGUUUUUCCGAACCACGUAAAAGUCUCUGUGUUAUUUACAACUUUCAGUUUUACAUUCUUACUUGUGCUAUUUCUAUUGAUAAAACUGAAUACUGACUAACAGCAAAGAGAAACCUUAAUCCAACAACCUGCUCCACCGAGGCUAUUACGAAACUAAGUAUAAUUUCCGCUACGUAUGAUAUCAAUCUGACUGAACUAUCCUCUGAUAGUAAGGAAGAGUGAUAUCAUCUCUAUCCUAGCAAACACGACUGAAGCCCUUACUUGGAUCAGUUAAGUUCCAGCAACUUAACUGAUAACUCAUUACUGAAGAGCUUUCAGUAUCAGUCGUCAACCCUGUUGGUCAAAACUGAUUUCAGUAUAACAGGAGUCCUUGUUUGCGUGUAAAGUUUCGUUUUAAUCUCUGACUGAGAUCCCUCUGAUUGAGGUCAGUAGAUUAGUCUAAAAAUAGCCUAUAGGUGUAUUCCACCCCCCAUACACCUAUUCGAGACCCCCCGGACCUAACAACGUGUUUUCAGAGCAGGUUGUUCGCAAGAACUAUCUGCAUCUGACUAGGUUCUAUUUGAACUAGAUCCUUUUCCUUAAAGGUCUCGAAAAAGUUUUACUCUUUCUUUCUGUGCUUGCAAUUUAUUCUAUCUGCCGUUAUCUGUUCUCUCUUUUUGAUGGAGACUAACCACAGCAGAUUAUAUUCUCUACCUAUGUUUAGUAUUGAAAAAUACGACAUAUGGAAGUUUCGGCUUCAAAGCUUCCUCACUGCCCAACAUUGCCGAAUGUGGAAAGUCAUCACCAGCGGACCGAUCACCAUCACCAAAACCAUCAAAAGGGUUCCUGCUGAUCUCCGACAGGAUCCUUACGAUGAGGUCCAGCCCAAGUCAAAGGCAGACUUCACCACAGAAGAAAGGAAGCAAGAUGAGUUAGAAACCUCGCCAAAAGCAUCAUCUCCGGCACCGUUCCCGACAAGCAUGUCAUGAAGAUCAUCAAGUGCGGANNNNNNNNNNNNNNNNNNNNNNNNNNNNNNNNNNNNNNNNNNNNNNNNNNNNNNNNNNNNNNNNNNNNNNNNNNNNNNNNNNNNNNNNNNNNNNNNNNNNNNNNNNNNNNNNNNNNNNNNNNNNNNNNNNNNNNNNNNNNNNNNNNNNNNNNNNNNNNNNNNNNNNNNNNNNNNNNNNNNNNNNNNNNNNNNNNNNNNNNNNNNNNNNNNNNNNNNNNNNNNNNNNNNNNNNNNNNNNNNNNNNNNNNNNNNNNNNNNNNNNNNNNNNNNNNNNNNNNNNNNNNNNNNNNNNNNNNNNNNNNNNNNNNNNNNNNNNNNNNNNNNNNNNNNNNNNNNNNNNNNNNNNNNNNNNNNNNNNNNNNNNNNNNNGUUUACUACCUCAACGUGGCUAAACCUAAGCAAAUCCCCCCCUCAAAUACCAAAUACCCCCCCCUGCAUUAAGUCACCGUUGGGGGGGUAUUUGGUACUUAAUACCUGACUAUAGGGUCCUAUACGCGAUAGGGGCCCAACGUUGGGGGGGGGGAUUUGCUUAGGUUUAGCCACGUUGAGGUAGUAAUUAAACAGCGCGGACCCUGACUAUAGGGUCCUAUAUGCGAUAGGGGCCCCAACGUUGGGGGGGUAUUUGGUACUUAACCAUAUAUAUUAUAUAGAUAUAGAUUCUAUAUAAUACGACUGAAUUUUAAAAAGAGAGCGCUCGUGAUAUAGCCAUUUUAAAUAAGAAAACAUAAUAUUUGGCCACUAAUUGAAAAAACACAAAUUCUGGCCAUUUUUACGUGUAAAGACUGUUUUGCCCUUAAUUAGGGCGGAUCGGAUUCUGGUUUACGCGCGAGUUAGGCACAUGCCAACCGGAAAAAAAAAUAAAAAAAUCUAAGUAUAUGUCACUAAUGGCACUAAUAUGGCCAUAAAUAUCAUUCGUGCAACACUAUAUAACAGAGUAUAUGACACUAGUGACAUUAAUAUGACCAUAAGUACCAUUCGUGCAACACAUUAAAUGGAGAAUCUAAACCCUAAAUGAUAAUCUAAACCCUAUGGGCAAGUGUUCAAAAUGGCACUAAUGACACUAAUAUGGCCAUAAGUGUCAUUCUCAUGGCGCUAAUGGCACUAAUAUGGCCAUACGUACCAUUCGUGCAACACUGAGUAUAUGACACUUAUGGCACUAAUAGUGCCAUAUGUGCCUAACCCGCGCGCAAAUCCGAAUUCGACCCGAAUCCGGUCCGCCAUAUUUAAGGGCAAAAUAGUCCGAAAACGUAAAAAAUGGCCAGAAUUUGUAUUUUUUUCAAUUAGUGGUCAAAUAUUGUGUUUGCAUCUUCAAAAUGACCAUAUGAAUAUAUUGUUUCUUUUAAAAAUGUCUAAUUUGAAAUAAUAUAAAUUAAAAUUAUUCAAUUAAUCCCUCAAAAAAAAUUAUUCAAUUAAAAUAUAAAUUUAAAAAUUGAUCACACUUAUUAUUUUAUUCUUUAAAUAAAAAAUUUAAAAAUUAUUCACUAAUUUUUUAAUUGUGAAUUUAAAUUUUUGAGAUUGAAUUCACAAUCAAGACUAUUUUUAGUUGUAAAUUAUAGCUUUAAAAUUCGAAUUGACAACCAAAAUUAUUUCUAGUUGUUGAUUCUAACUUUAAAACUCGAAUCCAUAAUCAAAAUUAUUUUGGAUUAUAAAUUUCAGGUUUAAAAUUUGAAUUCACAAUCGCGACUAUAUAUAGUUGUCAAUUCUUGCUUUCAAACUCGAAUUCACAAUUAAGACUUUAUGAAAUUUAGUUUUAAAACUUGAAUUCACAACUAAGACUACUUUAAGUUGUGAAUUCUAGUUUUAAAACUCGAAUUCACAACCAAGACUAUUUCUAAUUUUAUUUUCUUUUUCUUAACAAACACCAGAAUGGUGAGGGGUUAUGUAGUAGCCCGCUCUUUUAAUUAUGAUUAAAACUAGUAAAUGCAAUUUUUAUAAAUGAAUCCAGUUUAUGCUGUUUGUGAUUAGUAUAGCACCAACAGGUUUUAAUGUGCUUUAUAUCGUAUGUACUUAUGUGAUAUAUUUAUGUGUAUGAACAUCAUGAAGAUUAUUGACUAUGAUAAAUCAUGUGUACGUCUAUUCAAUAUAUACAAUUAAGUGUCAUAAAUCAUAGUGAUGAUGUGUGUAUAUGUGUAAUAUAAUAACUCUACAUUAUUAAUGUGCUAAUAGAUAAAGCAAAAUCAAAGUUUAGAUAAGUUAUUUUUUUCAUCUUUUGCUAAUGAUGUACACGUCUCUCUCCACCAACUCUUACUUUUUCCAACUCCACCACCCUUUGCUCCACCAACUAUCAGCCACCACUCCACCAUCAUUUGCUUUCCACCCAACAAAUGCAAUGUUUGGCUUCAAUGCUUUCUUCUUCUUUAAUUAAGUUCACCUGAAAUAAAACAAGAACCAUCGUUCAUUACAGUUAAUCUCCUAUUAAAACCAAUCUACUAUAGCAAACAGUACAGCAACUAAGCCAAAUAACUUCAAGGUGAGUUUUAUAUCUUUUAACUCUACCAUUUCUGCCAGAGUUUUCUUCAUUCGUGUAAGCAAAGGCACCUUCAAUUUAUUUCAGUUUCUAUCCACUGAUUCAAUCACACAGCAGCCACCCAAGCACAAGGAUCCACAGGUAAAUACUAAGCACUAUUAUUUCGAAUCCAGUACGCAUAUCAUCCAACAAGCAUGAAGUGAAUAGCAUAAUCAGUUCCAGAUGAUAUAAGACUCUCAUAAGCAUGAUAGACAUAACAGACGCGGGCUUUAUCAUGUAGAACACCAACCACUGUUGUGAACAAGUGACAGUUCAUAUGAAAUUUUAAACGAGCAUAAUUUGAGAUGUAAGCAAAACAAGAAAAUUACACCUUAUCUUUGCCUAUUUCACGUUAAGAACCGAUAGAAAAAGGAGCGAGAUUAUUUUUGACUUAGCUUUAGAAGGGAGCGGGCUGCUGCCCUGCUCUGAUUUGAGGAGACGACUCGACGACGGAGUUUCCAUCAACAUCGGAAUGGGAGAAUCGCCGCUGCAGCAAGUUUUCCCCUCAACUCGCCGAUUCUGGAUGGAAGCAGGGGCGGCAUACCUUCAUCAAAACCAGCAGCAGCGUGGCUGAACCGAAGGCGAGAACGACCAGCAGUGACUGAUUCGCCGGAUCCCGGAGCCGCGGCGGCGGACUCCUCGGCUGAGGACGGAUCGAGAGAAAGAGAUGGCUGCGGUGCGUGAGUUGAUGCGAAAGAGAGAGAAGAGGUGGAAGAAGCAGACGAUCCCUGGAUUCCGAGCGGCGGCUGCUCGCCGGCGGUUGGGACGGCCAGAGCAGCGGCAGACGAAGCCCUCGGCGGCCUGACGAGCAGCGGACGCCGCUGCGAGUGAAGCGGCACGGUGUAUCUCGCCGGCCUUCUAGUUGCAGUGGCGGCAGUCUUCGUUUCUCUGGAAGAACUAGGGCUUGGUUCUAGCCCCAUCAUCCGUGCGCUCUAGCGACUGAUCGAGACUCGAGAGGGAGAGCUGAGGUGGUGAUUUCUGAAUUGAGAGAAACUAGGGCACGAUUUUGGGGACUUUGCGCUGAGGAGAGAGAACGGCGGUGAGGUUGGACGCCGGUCGGAGAAGAGGCGGCGGCUGAAGUCUCGACUGAUUUUGAGAGAGACCGCGAUUGAUUUUUGAAGAAGAGGGAGAGAAGUCUCGACUGGUUUGAGAGAGAAGGAGGAAUCGGCUCCUUGAGAAAGAGAGAAGCCGAGAAUUGAGAGAGAGAGAAAUAGUAUGGGUUGUGUUUUAUUUGGGCCAUUCCCUUAUGUGAUUUGGGCCGAAUGAUUUUAAAAAUUUGGGCUUUUGUUUUAAUUGGUUUUGGGCCAACCUUUAUUAUUUUAUUGGGUCUAGACUAAUUUAUUUUCAGUUGGGCCGAACUCAUUUAAUUGUUUGGGCUCGAAUUGUUUUAAUUGUUUUGGGCCAAAGACUUUUAAGUUCGGGCUUGAUUUUAAUUGCUUGGGCUUUCACAUUUAAAUUCGAAUUGGGCCAGUCUUUUAUUUAAUUGGCCAUUCUCAUUAAUUCUAUUGGGCUUGAUUUAUUUAAGGAGUUGGGCUGAUGCAUAUUUUAUGAUGGGCUAUUAUUCUAAUUCCAUUAUUAUUUCGUUGGGCCUCGUUUGAUUUAUUUAAUUGAGCCCAACUAAUCAAAUUAUUUAUUCAUGGGACUAAGAUUUAUUCUUUUCAGCCCACAUUAAUUACUAUUAUCACUUGGGCUGAAGUUACUCCUUUGAGUUAAGCCUAGCAGUAUCUAUUAUGAUGGAGCUCAAUUAUUUAUCAGUGGGUGAUCCGAUUCUUAUUUAGUAAAUGAUCUGCCCAGUUUAUUAAUUAUUGUUUUGGACUUCAUAUUUAAAGCGAGCUAUCAUUGUUUAUUUCAUUAAAGCCAUUGGUUUAUUUAAUUAAUUGGCUACUCUCUUUUGAGCCUAUUAAUUAAUUGAGGUUACGUUAGUAUUUAUAUUUCUAAAAGCUCGAUAAUUUCUACGAGGUCACACCUCGUUUAAAGCCGAGUUAGUCCUAUUUUCGAUCGAGUACAAAUGCGAGAUUUAUUUUCACAACUAGAAUAUUCCGAUGAGGAAGGAAGAAUCACAGUUUUAUUCGACCACGCUAGACGAGAAUUAGCUAAAUCUAUUAACGAGGAUUAAUAAUAGAAUUCCAAUUAUCGCUCAGAAGAUUAGUUCAUGCAUACUAGAUUCAUGCAUAAUUAAUUACGCUUUCUCAUUAAUUGAGAAUUUUCCUCGAGCCAAUGUCUUAUUUUAUAUUCUCGUGAUUAAGGUCAAGAGCGAGAGUAAGAACUAUUCAAGGAGUCACAGUACCUUAGCAAAACUUUGCUAUCAGGUGGGCAAUUUCUUACGCGUAAAUAAAAUGCUAUGCAAGUGUUAUGCUUUAAAAAUGCAAAUUGGAUCUUCAAGUGUGUUAUGCUUUAUUACGCCUAAUUGAGUUAAGCUUUAUUAUGCUUCACGCUAAAUGAUUUACGCUAUGCUGUUUAUGCUACUUACGCCUUAUGUGAUUUACGCUUGAUUACGCUUAUUUACGCUUGAAUGCUUUACGCUGAUAAGUUUAUGCUUAUGUUUGAUGCUUGCGUCUGUUGGGGGAGGCCUCCCUCAACAGUACGAUGCCGUGUCCGCUGAGGAGGGCCUUCCUCACGGCGCGAUGCCCGUGUCCGCUGAGAGAGGCCUCUCUCACGGCGCGAUGCCAGUAUGCCAGUAUGCCAGUGUUACAGCGUCUAUUGGGGGAGCCUCCCUCAAUAGUACGAUGCCGUGACCGCUGAGGGAGGCCCCCUUCACGGCGCGAUGCCCGUGUUCGUUGGGGAAGGCCUUCUCCACGACACGAUGCGUGUUUAUGAUUGUAAUGAUGAAGAUGCGCUCAUGCUGUUAUGAUAUGGAAAUGUUUAAUGAGCAAAGGAUUUGAAAGAAACUUAUGCCUCUUAUGCGAAGUUGUGUUUUGUUGUUGAUAUUAUGUUAUAUGCUUGGCACUGCCCACUGAGUACUCUUGUACUCAGNUUCUCUGGUGGUUCAACUUGGUAAGCAAUAAGGUUUACCACCUUUGAGCUCUGAUCCGUCGGUCCUUCUCCAAUUGGCCUUUUCAGCUCUUGCCUCCAGAUUUCCUCCACCAAUGUCAUUAAAUUAGCCUUGAACGUCCUGGCCCUAGCUCUCGUCACUGGACCAACGGGCACGUGCACCGGAUCUUCACUUUGUGCCGCCUCUGAAAUUCGGCUCUGCUCUGCAUCCUGGCCUCUACUCUGAACUGCAUCAACCAGAAACGUGCCUCAUCAGCAAGAGCAGCUCGGAACUCAAUUGGCUAUGGCACAAGAGACUCAACCAUCUCAACUUCAAGACGAUCAACAAACUUGCUAAGCAUCAACUGGUAGAAGGUCUUCCUUCUAUUGUGUUCCAGAAGAAGCAAGAAUGUGAAGGAUGCCUCAGAGGAAAGCAGACGCGGACGUCAUUCAAGUCAAAGUCAGGACACUCCUCUGGAAGGAUUCUGCAUCUACUUCACAUGGAUUUGUUUGGCCCGAUCACUCCAAGAAGCUACAAAGGUAGGAAGUACACCUUAGUAGUUGUGGAUGAUUAUUCACGAUAUACUUGGGUUAUCUUUCUCUUCAAGAAGAAAGAGACACUGGAGGAACUGCCAAAGCUGCUGAGAAGACUGAGCGUUGAAAAGGACGUCAACAUCAUCAGCAUCAGAUCAGAUCGUGGGACUGAAUUCCUCAAUACUGUCAUUCAUAAGUAUUGUGAUGAACAAGGAAUCAGUCAUCAAACUUCUGCAACAAGAACUCCACAGCAGAACGGAGUUGCAGAAAGAAGAAACCGGUACUCUAAAGAAGACACAAGGACGAUGCUAGCCGAGUCAAAAACCCCUUGAAGUUUUGGGCCGAAGCAGUCAACAACGCAUGCUACACGCAGAAUCGCUCCUUCCUCACUCAGAGACAUGGAAGAACUCCAUACGAGUUAUGGAAGAACAGAAAGCCAUCGAUUGCCUACUUUCAUGCUUUCGGUUCUAAGUGUUUCAUACACAACAAUGAUAAGAAGAGGUUAAACACUUUCGAUAGCAAGGCUGAUCCAGGAGUUUUCCUUGGAUACUCUGGAACAGAACGUUCAAGCAAAGCCUAUCGAGUGUUUAAUACUCAAACUCUUUGUGUUGAAGAAACACCUCAUGUGAUCUUUGAUGAGUCUACAGAUGGUUUCAGGGAACAAGAUGCUGAAAAGUAUGUUCAGAUCGCUGAAGGUUCCAAAGCUGAAAUCCACAACAUCGAGCCCUCUACUGUCUUGGUGUGGGGACCUGGCAAAGAUGAAGAUACUGAAAUGCUUCAGUAUCAGAAGAUCAACCAAAGGUCUGAAGUUCAGACUGGAGCCAAUACAGAUGGCAUCAGUCAAGGGGGAACUCCAGUUGCUGAAGAUCGAGUUGAACGCGCAGAAGCCGCUCCAGCUCAACUCUCCCCUGCUCCAGAAGGUGCUCAACACCCCAGAGCAAUUCUGACCGAAGAAGCCCCACCUUCCCCAGAAGAAAUCAAGAAGUAUCGAAGAUGGUUUGAACUUCACUCAAAGGAGAACAUCAUUGGAGAACCAUCAGAUGGCGUCAAGACUCGGAGAUCAAUGUGCAACCUCAUCUUCGACAUCAAUCAGAACUGCAUCAAUGAAGAUAAGAAUUUCAGCUGUUUCUUAUCAACUACAGAGCCCAAGGAUAUUGAAGAAGCUCUGAAGUCCACUGAAUGGGUCAUCGCAAUGCUAGAGGAACUCAAUGAAUUCAACCGGAAUUCAGUUUGGGAGCUUGUGGAUCGACCAGACGAUGCAAAGGUGAUUGGCUUGAAAUGGAUUUUCAAGAACAAGGAAGACGAAGAAGGAAACGUUGUGAGAAACAAAGCAAGGCUAGUGGCUAAAGGAUACAGUCAAGAAGAAGGAAUCGACUACGACGAGACGUUCGCCCCAGUUGCCAGAUUGGAAGCAGUCAGACUCUUCUUAGCCUUCGCAGCUCACAAAGGUUUCAAGGUACACCAAAUGGAUGUCAAGUGCGCAUUUCUCAAUGGAGUGCUCACAGAUGAAGUCUAUGUAGAACAGCCUCCAGGGUUUGAGGUUGCUGGACCAGAAAAGGUGUACAAGCUGAAGAAAACGCUCUAUGGGUUGAAGCAAGCACCAAGAGCGUGGUAUGAUACUCUCUCGGAGUAUCUGAUUGAACAAGGCUUCAAAAAGGGAUCUGUGGACAGAACUCUGUUCACUCUCAAAGAAGGAGAAGAUCUCUUGCUUGUUUAGAUUUAUGUCGAUGACAUAAUCUUCGGAUCCAAAUCCGAACGCAUGUGCAAGAAGUUUGCUGACAUCAUGACCAACAAGUUUCAAAUGUCCAUGAUGGGAGAAAUGAAUUUCUUUCUCGGAUUGCAAGUCAAGCAGACCAACGAAGGAAUACUGAUCAGCCAGUCCAAGUAUGCCAAGGAGCUGAUAGCUAAGUUUGGUAUUCAGCACAUGAAGUCAGUCAAGAUCCCAAUGAACACAAACUGGAAAGUUGAUCCAGGUUCAGAAGGAAGCUCUGUCUUUUCGAAGAAGUACAGAGAAAUCAUUGGAUCUUUGCUGUAUUUGACUGCGAGCAGACCAGAUAUCACAUUUGCAGUCGGGGUAUGUGCAAGAUAUCAAUCAGAUCCUAAGGAAGCUCAUUUGGAUGCAGCUAAGCGGAUUCUGAGAUAUCUCAAAGGCACACCUAAUUUAGGAUUGUGGUACCCAGUAGACGACGACAUCAAGCUCACCGGAUUUUCAGACUCAGACUUCGGUGGAUGCAAGCUUGAUCGCAAAUCAACCUCUGGAACAUGUCAAUUCCUAGGCACCCAAGUCUUGUUUCUUUCUAGAGACUCCAGCUCUUCCUGUAUAGCUGAUAUCCACUGAUUCCUAUAUGCACUUCUCAUUGCUUCAGUAUAAUUGAUGGGAUCUUGAUAUUCAGUUUCUUCUGCUAUAGACAAAGCAUAGGCUAUUAGAUCUGUCUUAGCAUAUCUUGUUGGAGGAUGAAUUUGUCUUCUGAUUCUGUCUCUUGCUAAUUGGUAGUGUCUUAGGUUACCUUCUCUAUCAGAUUCUCCUUCAUCUGGUGAUUCUUCAUCUGCAUCUUGGUUGUCAUUAGUUACUUGAGGUAAUGAAUGAGCUUUAUUCAUUGACUCCACCUCAACCUGUGUGACACCAUGAUUUCCACAUGAUGAAGUGUCUGUUUUUCUUUGAUCAUUAGCAAUGAGAGGCAUAAUUUCUUCCUUGAAGACUACAUCUCUGCUCACUAAGAUUUUAUUCAUUCCAUUUUCAUUAUACCACAGCCUAUAACCCUUUGUCCCUUCUUCAUAGCCUAGCAUAAUACAUUUGAGUGCUCUUGCUUCUAGCUUGUCCUGCUUUAGGUGCAUGUAUGCUAGACAUCCAAAGACCUUAAGCUUCGAAUAAUUUGGAGCUAUAUUGCUCCACCUCUGUUCAGGAAUUCUAAAGCCAAUGGCUGAACUUGGGCAUUUAUUUAUCAACUUUGCAGCUGUAGUAACUGCUUCACCCCAAAAUUUCUUGGAUAAUCCUGACUUAAGAGCAUGCACCUAACUCUCUCAAGAAGUGUCAUGUUCAUACGCUCCACCACACCAUUCUGUUGUGGUGUACCUGGCACAGUCUUGUGUCUCUGUAUCCCCUUUUCCUUACAGAAAUCAUUGAAUUCUUUUGAUAGAAAUUCAAGUCCAUUGUCAGUUCUUAGACAUUUCAGGGUUGUAUUCUUCUCCACCUCGACUGCUUUGCACCAUUCUCUAAACCUUGCCAGUGCAUCACUCUUUUGCUUGAAGAUGUACACCCAAACUUUUCUAGAGUAGUCAUCUAUGAUAGAUAAAAAAUAUCUGCCUCCACCUAGACUCUCAGUCCUUGCAGGCCCCCAUAGAUCGGCAUGUGCGUAGUCCAGAGGUGCUUGAGAUAGAUGCUCCCCAACACCAAAUGGUUUCUUCUUGCUCUUGCCCAAAAUGCAUUGCUCACUAACCAUUUUUCUUAAGUUUUCCAGUAUACUCAGUCUUCUGCUGCGUUACUAGCUCAUUGAGAGCUCUUUCUCGUGCAUGCCCCCAACCUUUUAUGCCAUAUUAUGCAAUCUUCUUUGAUAAUUGCUUCACAUUCACCAAUCAAAGUUUUAGCUAGUAGGUAAUAUAAGCUAGAUUUCCUUACUCCCUUCAUGAUAACUUUAUCAUCUCUGAGAAUACACAACAAGCCAUUAUUAGAUCUCCAGCUGUACCCCUUUGAUUCCAAUGUCCCCAAAGAUAUCAAGUUUCUUUUUAACUCCGGGAUAUACCUGACAUUUAAUAGCCAUUUGAUGGUGCCAUCUUGAAGCUUAAGUUUGAUAUUUUUUGUUCCUUGAAUGAAACAUACUUUAUUGUUUCCCAACAUGACUGAACCUGCUCUUUGUAGCUUUAGAUCAUAGAACCAUUCUUUAUUGGGGCACAUGUGAAAGCUACAACCAGAAUGUAGAAUCCAAUGUUGGUCAUCCUUCAAAUGUUCAAAACUUUUAGGCAAACCAUUAAGAAGCAAGAUCGCCUUAUCUUCAUCAUCAAGUUUAACAUCUAUGUUUUCCAAAUCAUCUAUAGAUUUGUUAAACUCAUCUAGUUGAUCCUCCAUUCCUUUAUCUUCACUGAACUUAUAGGAAUAUAAUCUUUGCUUCAUGUACAAACGAUUUGCCAAAGAUUUCACCAUAUAAUUAAGAGAUUCUAAUUUCUGCCAUACCUCAGCUGCUGUCUGUUCUUUGGCCACUUCUCGGAGAACCUUAUCCGCGAGACAGAGAAUAAUGGCGCUGUGUGCCUUCUGCAUCUUCUCGUCUCUUUCGGCCUUCUUGAUAUCUUCGAGAAAACACUUUUCUCCCAUCAAUGCUCCAACGAGGCCUUGCUGCACAAGUAUGGCCUUUAUCUUGAUUUUCCAAAGAGCAAAGUCGUUCUUGCCGUUAAACUUCUCGGCAUUGAAUUUUAGAGAACUCCUUGCGUCGUGGAUUCGAUUCCGGCAGACGGCGCCAAUCUGUUGAGAACAGAUGCCAAUACCUCGACUAACACCACAACAAGAAUUCAAACGAAAUCUAAACAAUCCAAGAUUUUACGUGGUUCGGCAAUUUGCCUACGUCCACGGCGGAGUCACAAUGUUAUUGAUUCACGAACGCAAAUCCAGCGAUUACACUUUGAAGAUGAAAUCAACAAGAAAACAAACCUCUCCAGUUCUUUCCCCUCUUGUAUCAACUCUCUUCGUAAACAAGUGAAUCUACUUAUUGAAUAAGCAACAACCUAUACAAAACUAAUGCUAUCAGUAUAUAUAAGAGAACAACAGCAGCUAAGCUAAACCAGAAGAAUGAGCUGUGAAUUCUAUCGCAAAUCUCUCUAAAAUUAGUCCGUUAUAACUGACCUAGAAAUAUUGCAAAUAACUCCUUCAACUCCAAACUAUUUACUGGUAACACCCUAGCUGAUAUGUACACGUGGAAUAUUCACUAAAAUACAACACUUAGACAUUACAUUAUUUAUAUCUGAUUAUGAAAAUCUAAUGGGCUAAUGGGAUUGAGCAUAAUAGGGCCAAGCUAGAGUAUCGGGCUAGGCGUAUCAACAACUUCUUGAAUCGGUAAAUUUUGGUUCAGCAUUGCAGUUAUUAGAACCAUUUUACCAUAAAUUGGAUCCCAAACUGGAGUCGUGUUUCUUGUGUAUGGCCUUCUUUAAGGAAAAUACAACUUUGAGGGGAGAAAAGAUUUGGAUUGUAGGAGGAGCAGGUCAUGAUCCAGAUUAUGAGUGUCAAUCAUAUUUAGAAGAUUUAGUCAAUGAAUCUUUUAUUGAUGUCAAUGACAAGGGCACCAAGUAUCACAUGAAUGUUGUGCUACACAUGCUAUCCAUCCAAAAGGAAGAGGAGAAACUAGAUUUUGAGAUCCUAGGGAACAAUGGAAAUAAUCAGCCCUCUGAGAGUCCUCUUCAUCAUCGUGUUAUCAUUUGUAGCAGAGACAAGUUCAACUACUACUCCACGGAUCAAGAUAAGCAUCUUAUUUCUCUCUUCUUCCAUGGAGGUGGCUACUUGGACACUAGUCCAUCUUAUUGGAAGAGCAUUGAACAACUUAAGAUACUUGACCUGGAAGAUUUCGGGUUGAUGUUUUUAUCAGAAACUAUCAGCAUACUGAUGGAAUUAAGAUAUUUGGGAUUGAGAAAUAAUUACAUAAAAGAGCUUGGGGUGCUUGGAAAAGCUUGAGGUUCUUGACAUAGCUCAAAACUUUAUCGUGGAGGUGCCACAUGUUAUAUGGGAAUUGCAUAGCCUUCGCCACCUCUACAUGAGUAAUUUGAUUUGCCGGAAGCUUUUCAAGAUAGACGUGCUACUGUAGGGUCUUGAGACCUUAACCUACGUCCCGAUUGAUGAUUGGACAUAUGAGCCCUCGAGCUUAAAAGAGUUGAGGUCACUUGAGAAAUUGGGCAUAGAAGAAUUGGAUGGGAACUCAGAUUUAAGCAAGCUCUUUGCAUCAUUAGCUCAGUUGAGGAGCCUCGAUCACCUAAUCUUAAGAGGGUAUCUCAGAAGCAUGCCUUGUUUGGAUGAGCUUGCUAUUCUAGACAAUCUCACAACACUCAAAUUGGAUGGGCUCCUUGCCAAGUUACCAAAUAUUCUUCCUCCAAAUAUUAAAUCGUUGACGUUGGUUAAUAGUUGUCUUGAUGAAGACCCCAUGCCACUACUAGGGAAGUUAGAGAUGCUAGAGUUCCUCAAAUUGCGGAAUGCAUACACUGGUCAACAAAUGGAGUUCGAGAACUUUCCCUGGCUCAAAGUCCUGUGCUUGGAAGAGUUGUGGAAUUUGAGAAAUGUACAAUGUGAAAGACUUGCAAUGUAUGGGCUCAACAUAUUAGAAAUUCAUGAUUGUCCAUAUCUGAAUACUCUCCCGGAAGAGAUUUUGACAGGGAAUUCGUUCACGAAGUUAAAGAUGGUGACAACCAAAAGCAUUGCAACAAAGAUCAAGAAUUCAGACUUAAUCUCCAAAAUAAAGAUGGUGAAUAUCAAUCCAUGAGCUCGAGCAGUUGGCGUUAAUUUGGAUAAUUGAGUUUUCUUCUCCGUUUGGUGGUUGUUUUUUUGAAAAUGACAUUUAGUUACUUUGGCAAUUGUGAUUUCUUCAUAUCUUGUUGCAACUGUUCCUUCUCAAGUUACCGUAGAUUUUGGCCACAACUGAUGCUGUUUAUCCUUACAAUAUCAACCAACUCGCUCGUGUUUCAACUUAUACUUCUUUUUUAUAUUUUUCUGUUGUAAUUUGUAAUAGAACAUAGUUGUUUCUAUGGAUCAAAAUUCUUAAACAGCUUGAUGGAUUUAAAGGUGAAUUCUCUAUGAUCGCAAAUUUAUCAUAAGAAAAGAUGGAAAUGUUUUCACAUUUCUGUUCCACUUUUAUAUCCCAUGUUCACUAAGUGUGCGUUCUUUUUUAUACUCCCUCCGUCCACGAAUUAAAGUCCCAUUUAAGGGUGGGCACGGAGACUAAGAAAGUUGAAAAAGGUGUUGUGGAUGAAAUAUAAGGGCAGUUGACUAAAGUGAUAAAGUAGUUGACUAAAGUGUUAAAGGUGUUGUGUGGUGGGUCCACUAGUGAUAAAGUGUAAUAAAUAUAGAAUAUAAAAAUGAUAAAGUUGUUAUAAGGUGGGUCUAUUAGUGGCAAAUGGUAGUAAAUAUAGAAAAAUAAGAAGAGUAAAAAGGUACAUAAAGCACAAUAGGGCUUUAAUUGGUGGACAAAAAUUUAAGUGCAAGUAGGGCUUUAAUUCGUGGAUGGAGUGAGUAGAAAAUGAAGGAAAAUAUAUACUUCACCAUUUUCACUUUUUUAUAUGAUAAUUUUUUAAUUUUUUUGUUAAUCUUUGUUUUCUUAUGAUACAUUUGUAAUCAAUGAAAAAGCAAAUAGGAGCUCUUAUCCUCCAGAAAAUAUUAUUUUCAUCUGUAGUCUGUUAAGCCCAAUUUCAAAUCUUUUUAUUGUCUUUGCUAGAAAAGAAUUUUAUAUUGGAUCAACUUCCAAUUCUUUUUAUAUUUACCAUUGGGUUCACUCAUCCAAUUAAGGUUUAUGAUUAUUUUUUAUAUUUAUUUGAAUUAAUAAUUGAUUAUUUGGGUUCAUUAGUUUAAAGUUAGGGUAUAUACUUUUUAAAAUUUCAAUUAUUAGUGAUAAAUAUUACUCCAUUCGUCCAUGAUUUAAUGCCCUAUUUGGGUGUGGGCACGGAGACUAAGAAAGCUGAAAAAUGUGAUGUAGAUGAAAUAUAAGGGUAGUUGACUAAAGUGAUAAAUGUGUUGUGAGUGGGUCCACUAGUGAUAAAGUGUAGUAAAUAUAGAAUAUAAAAAUGAUAAAGGUGUUUUAAGGUGAGUUCAUUUGUGGCAAAGGGUAGUAAAUAUAGAAAAGUGAGAAGAGUAAAAUUGUAUAAAAAGCACAAUAGGAAUUGUGGACAAAUUUUUAAAGGCAAGUAGGGCAUUAAAUUGUGGACGGAUGGAGUAUUUAGAGUUCAUAAUAUAAUAAUAUUUUUUAUAUUUAUAAAAAAUAAUUAUAAAAUAGAUANCUUGGAUAUCAUUGCUCUACUGCAUCAGAAAUUUGCUCUUACUUCUCUCGGUGAUGUGCACUAUUUCUUGGGAAUUGAGGUAGUCAGACAUGGUUCAUCCUUUGCUUUAAGUCAGACAAAAUAUCUUCACGAGUUGCUUCAUAAAACGCAUAUGAGCUCGUGCCAUCCUUGCGCCACUCCGAUGACACCUGCUACUAAGCUUUCAAAAUAUGGUGGGGUUCCUUUUUCUGAUCCCACGUUAUAUCGUAGCACAAUCGGUGCGUUGCAGUAUCUUACACACACUCGCCCAGAUAUUGCGUUUGCUGUAAAUAAGCUUAGUCAGUUUCUUCAUCAACCUACGUCUCUUCACUGGACAGCAUGUAAACGGCUACUGCGUUAUCUCAAAGGUACAACUUCCAUGGCCUUACACUUCUCCCCAUCUUCCUCGCAUCAUCUUGUUGGCUUUGCUGAUGCCGACUAUGCAAGUAGUGUUGAUGAUCGACGCUCUACGGUGGGCAUUGUGUAUACUUUGGUACUAAUCUCAUUACAUGGAGCUCCAAGAAGCAGUCAGUAGUCUCUCGAAGCAGCACAGAAUCUGAGUAUCGAUCACUAGCAAAUGCUACAUCUGAAGUGGUUUGGCUUGAUGCUUUAUGUAAAGAAUUGGAUAUUUCCCUUUCUUCCCCACAUAAACUUUGGUGCGAUAAUAUUAGUGUUGUUGCCCUUUCCUCAAAUCCAGUCUUUCAUUCUCGCACAAAGCACAUUGAGGUUGAUGUGCACUUCGUUCGGGAAAAAGUGCAAGAGAAGUUCAUUGACGUUGGCCAUGUACCUGCUAUCGACCAGAUUGCUGAUCUUUUUACUAAACCUCUCGCCGAGCCUCGGUUCUGUAUGCUGCGUGCAAAGCUCAAUCUUCACUCCUUAGAGGAUCGCAGUCCUGGAUAGAGACAAACAUUUCUUGGAGCAUAUUGAAGUAAUUUAAUUUACCUCUUGUAUUUUCUAUUGUUAGUCAGUUACAUAGUUAGUUAGAUAGGUUGUUAAGCAAGCAGCUAGAAGCAGCUAGAAGCUUCUAUUUUACAUCUAUAUAUAGCUUCGGCUCCAAGUUAGUUGUAGUCAGUUUUCAGCUUAAUGAAAAAUUAGUUCACAAAAUAUCAUCUCUCUUCUUUUCUCUCCACUGCUUUGCUUCUAUUCUUCUCACAUCUUUUCUCUCAGUUUAGCUUUGAGUUUAACAGGCAGCACAUAGUAGCUGUGGAGGUACGCGGUGUCGAGAACAAUUUUGAUCCUCAUCUACGUACUAUGAAUUCACCAUGGUCCAUGACGCUGCUCUUCUCGAUGUUGUCCUUGUAGUGGAGGUGAUCAUAUAGAGUGCCAUUCUUCAUAUAAUCGUACACCAACAACAUCUUGUCUCUUUCCUCGAAGUAAUGGACUAACCUAACAAAAUGCUCGUGAGACAAUCGCGAUAGAAACGAGAUCUCCAAUUCAAAUUCGUAUUUAGUUUCUAGAAAUUUCUUCAUUUUGGGGCCAAAUUCGCUCCACUUGACCGCAACCUCGUGGUAGUUGGAGAGCUUCCCUCUGUAAACCACGUUGAAGCUGAUGGCAUCGAUUUUGUUCUCAGCGGCGAAGUUGUGUGUGGCUUCAACGAGGGCGAGGAGGAGGAAGGCAAAGAGUAGGGUGGCGGAUUGGAGAGAGCGAAAAGCAGGGACGACAAAGAGCGGUGGUGGAUGAUUGCGAUGAUGAGGCAAAUGAUGAUCAUGAUGAGGUAGAGAGCUACACGUGCCGCCGCCGGUGGUGGUAAUGGUGAGCGCACUGAGCGGCAGCACCGACUGUGGAGAGGAGGGCAUGUUAGGGUUUGGCGACGUGAAGUUUAAGAUAUGCAAUUGAAAGAUGUGUUAUGUUGUUGUAUAUUUUUUUUAUUCCACGUGUAUUGACAACAUGACAAUUGACUAGAACACGUCAAUUAUCGAUCGUCGUAUUAUAUUUGUGAGCCACAACCAAGAAAAAAUAAAAUAAAACGAUAAAUAUUAUUUUGUGAUUAGCUUUGGAUGUGAUAUUUCUGAAAAAAAGUUCAAACGAGAGCCAAAAAGUGAUAUUUAGUUCUUUUUAUUUUAGGUUCUCAAUUAAUUAAGUUUAGUAAAAUUUCGCUGUGGGAACAAGAUUUAAGAUAAAUAAGAAUAAGGAAUUGUGGAUUAUUGUGGUACAUCUAAUAUAUUUUGUUAAAGAAUAUAUAAUUAAUAUAUAUAUAUAUAUAUAUUAAAUUACUAUUUUUUUGAGGUAAGUAAUUAUUGAUUGAUUCAUGAAACAGAUUCAAUACUGAAUAUAACAAAACGAGAAACAAAAGAAAGAAGAUUUUGUUACAGAAGACGUCGCCCAGUUGCCUCCAGUGCCUCGGCCCUCCGGCCUCCUCCUUAGCCGCCGCCCGGCCCGUCCCUGAACCCGUUGCAGCCUUCCCCUUCAGGUAUGCUUGUUGCCUCAGUUUUUAGGGCUCGAAAUUUAUAUAUUCGAAUUGAAAUUGAAUUUUAUGUGCUGCUUAAAUUUUCCUUUGAUAUGAGCGAAUGCAGUUUAGUUACUGUAUUGUUUUGAGUGAGAGAAUUAGAAAAUCAGUUUUUAUUUAGUUUAGACAGGAAGAUGGAGAAUCGAAGAGGGCAGCUGCCAAGUUUUUUUAAAUUAUUUAAUUCGGUUAUCCGAAAUACCGAUGGCUUGGGUUUUGGUUCGAACUUCUAAAACCCCAGGCCCAAUCCUCCCUUGGAUUCUGCCACCGCUGCUCUCCUUUCCUUUUCUCAUCAAUUCAAGUGUUCCUUCUGAAAUUGGGGCGUCCCAUUAAAACAGAAACUGUCAAUUUUUUUGCGGGGAAAAUAUUAACGUUAGAUAACUGUGUUUUCAUAUAUAGAUUUUGCGUUUUUCCUAAGAUAUAUCUACUGCAGCUAUAGAAACUUGUAACCUUGUUAUUCCCCAUCUAUUUAUUAUUUUUUAAUGUGCAAUUAAUUUGGUUGAGUUUGUUUCUUGUAUUUUGUUGGACUGAAGAUCUUGCUCUUACAAUAUUUAUUUUGCAGUUAGGAGAAAGUUCUGAAAUUGCAAUGAAGGGGAAAGAACGAAGAGGGGGUCCUCAUCCACUAAUUUGGAUUACCACGAACCCAGAAUGGACAUCAAGUCCAUUCUAAAAGAUAUUGAAUUUUUGGGUAAGAUAAAGUCUUCAUAUUUACUACUAUACUCUAAUUUGUUGAAUUUUUGGUAUUAAGCAUGCAAAUUAAUUGGAUUUGGAGCUAUUGUUAUAGGAAUAAAAUUGUUGACGUGUCACUUCAAUCCUAAGACUUGGGCUUAGAUAUCUGUCUAUCUGCUAUAGUUUAUGUUUUAUGGAAGCAUCUGAUAGCAAUGGAUACCAGUGAACUUUUGAAAAUCUUCUAUUUUGAUAUUACCUUUGGAUAUUUGAUCUUAUUCCUUGCUGGGAUAUAUGUGUUAAUGUUUUGAAAUUUCUCUCUGAACAAUGAAGGCAAAUGAAUUCGAUAUCUUUUUUGAAUGAAUCCGUUCACAGGUUGUAUUCAACCAAGUUUGCCACAUGAGGAUUUAAGGCAUACUAAUUUCAUUGCCUUUUGUUGUUGGCGGUGUAGAAUACUGCGAAUAAGGUUUGAAAUAAUUGGAUCAGUUUGAUAUUUUAGUUGAAGAUCACUAACAUGUAACUUUUUCAUGAUUUUAUUGCACCCAUGUCUGGAAUUGCUCCUUCCUCUUACUGUGAACUCUUUCUUUGGUGUGUGUAAAGAGUGACAUUUAUUUAUUGGAUGCGGCGACUAUGUGCAAUGUAUCAGAUAUGGCUACUACAACAUCUUGGAAUGUGCUUAAUUUUUUGUCAAUUCAGGAUCCUCACACAUGACAUGGAAACAGAAAAAGGACUUGGAGAAUAAGAAGGUAGUGUCACUUGGUGGAAAGGUGAGUUCGUCUACACCCUACUAUCGUAGGACAUGUUGAGCUCUCCAGUGCUUUGUAUGAACUCUAUGUUUCCUGUAAACAGCCUCCAAAGAAACAGAGGUUACCUCUUAGUGUUGCAAGAGUUGCAAUGAAGAAUCAAAAGGGAAGAGAAGAAAAAAUGCUUCAAGAGGUUACUUAACAUUCCCAGCUUUCUUUCAAUUACUCUAACUGUAUGUUGAUAGAGAUUGAAUGAGUGCAAAUAUUGGUUAUACAGAGAGCUAUACUCGGAAGGUUUGGAGCCUACAGUAGCAGUAGUUCGAAGAAGGUGGCAGAGAGGCGGCCAGCAGAGGACAGAAUUUUGAAGUCGAUUCAAGGCAAUUUCAGAAAAGGGGUUCUCAAUGUCGGACAUCUGUUCAACCCUCGCCCCUGAAGCCUCUAACGACAAGGGCAGACACCCUACGGUAAAGGGAGAAGAAGAAAGACAAGGCAAAAAAGUCUGGCAAGAGAAAGGGUGGUGGUGGUAAGAAGCGUCACUAGGAAUAUCUCAAAUUUAUUGUGUUCCCUUUUGAAUCCUUCUUCGCCUCGCUGAAGUAAGCUUGUAGAACAUAUACAUUAAUGCCCUGUAGCUAUUGGCAUGCCAGAUUUGUUUUGCUGCUCAAUAUAAUGAAAUUUUGUGGCCAUUGCAAUUAUUUUCUACUUACAAAAGUUGAGGAUCCAACUUCUAACCAAUGCGAACAUGAUGAUUUCGCGUGAAAACUUAAACUCAGCUUCCCAUUUCAGAACCCAACUUCUGCACAAAUUUCAAGCCUUCAAGGAGAGAGUGGAGCAGCUUUUAAUUUUCUCAGAACCUUUUCCUUUCUUUUUAUUCAUUUUCUGUUUUUCUUUUUUGUUUGAUUGAUAUUUUAAUAAAAGUUAUAUAAAUUGUUUUUAUUUUCUCUUCUUUUCAGUUUUUCUUUUUCAAAAUAUUUUAUCCAGUCUCUUUUUCUUUUUAAUUUGGUAUUUUGUUUUACCUCCAAAUUUUCUCUCCUCUCAAUUUUUCCAUCAAUUUUUCUCUCUUCUUUUUUCUUUUCUCUAUUUUAAUUUUUGUCAAAAAAUUGCCAACUUUGAUUUAAAUAAAAAAAUAUUCAAUAUAUAUGUUAAAUUAAAGAUUACGAGAAGAUCUUUAAUUCGACGUAAAAAAUAUAAAAAAAUAAUUUGAAAUGAAUAAGUUAUGAUCAUUUAAAGUGUUAAAAUUAACUUUUUGUUCGCUUUUAUUUAUCUCUAAUGUUGAACAUCAUCCAUAUUUUUUUUUCAUUUUAUUUUUAUUUGUUCGUGAAAAAGAUAAAUAACUGUAAUUUUUCUCCUUUUAAAAAAAGUUUACAUGAUUGUUUAAUUAAAUUUAAAUAUUUAAAAAACUAUGUUUUCAAUGUAAUUAAGAAUAAUGAAAUAUGUAUUUAUUUGACUAUGAACUUGUAAAUAAAAAAUUAGUUGUAUAUAUCUUAAAAUUAGCAUUUAAAAUAUUAUAUAAAUUUUUCUAAUGAUGUGUACUAAAUAUUUNUAAAAAAAAUAUUCAAUAUAUAUGUAAAUUAAAGAUUACGAGAAGAUCUUUAAUUCGACGUAAAAAAUAUAAAAAAAUAAUUUGAAAUGAAUAAGUUAUGAUCAUUUAAAGUGUUAAAAUUAACUUUUUGUUCGCUUUUAUUUAUCUCUAAUGUUGAACAUCAUCCAUAUUUUUUUUUUCAUUUUAUUUUUAUUUGUUCGUGAAAAGAUAAAUAACUGUAAUUUUUCUCCUUUUAAAAAAGUUUACAUGAUUGUUUAAUUAAAUUUAAAUAUUUAAAAACUAUGUUUUCAAUGUAAUUAAGAAUAAUGAAAUAUGUAUUUAUUUGACUAUGAACUUGUAAAUAAAAAAUUAGUUGUAUAUAUCUUAAAAUUAGCAUUUAAAAUAUUAUAUAAAUUUUUCUAAUGAUGUGUACUAAAUAUUUAUUUAUUUGUGCAAACAUAUUUGUUGUUAUAUUUUUCUUUUUAUAGUUAUUUAUAUUUUUUUAAUUAGUUUUGGGCUAUUCAAAUAUGAACUUUUAAUAAUAAUAUAGUUUGGACUCUUAAGAACCCAUAAUUGUUAUAUUAAAUGACGCCUAUUAAUUUUAUCAUAUUGAUGGUUUAGUGUUAUUUUCUCAAAAUAGACAUUAACUUGAGAGAGAAAUCUUUUUAAAUACCAUGUAAUAAAAGGUAAAAGUUAUUUAUAUUCAUUUAUAAGAGUUUUUAUACAAAAAUGUGUUAAAUUACUACACUAACCUUACUAUACACUAAUAAGUUAAAAGAAAUAAAAAAAUAAUAAUAGCUAAAGUCUAACUCAUUCUCUCUCUCUUGCAAAACACUUAACACCCACAUACACACACGACACCCACACACGCACGAUCGAUACACUCAACAAUAGCAUAAUGAGUGAAACUCGAUGAAAAGCCAACCGCGAUGAGGAGGAGACGACGUCGAACUCGGCGACGAAUAGUGGACAAGGAGAAAUAAUCGAUAACGAGCCACACGACCAUGUUUUUUUCUUUUUUUGAAAAUUUAUGCUUUUAAAUUUUGUGUUUAUGCAUGUUUAAUUGAAGUUGAGAACAAUGUAUAUGAUUGUAUGAAUAUAGGUAGUAUUAUUGCUAAGAUUUGUUGGUGAAUUUGUUUUGAAGGGUGGAAACCGUGGUUGCCCACGGUAAGUAUUUAUCUUCACACGACCAUCGUGUGAAGAUAAACUCAUUGUGUAGAAGACCUAGUGGCAGUUGCCCGCAGCUUGCACACGAUGACAAAACAAGGUCGUGUAGCCACCAUGUGCACAAUUAGGGCAGUUAAUUGUGCAUCUGAUGGUUGCACACGGUGGCUACAUGACCGUGUUUUGAGUCAUCGUGUGCAGGGCAGAGUGUGUACAAUUUAUCCGUGUUUUAUGUUUUUGUUUGGUUUGAACACUUGAUCAUUGUUCUAAUAGUUUGUAUAUUUAUAUUGCAGCACAGUCUUGAAUGGAUGAGGCCGACAUUGCGCAGUGUUACGUAAUAAUUGAAUAUUUACAUGUGUAAGGCCGUAUUCAAUGAGAUAACUUCGAUGCUUCGGCGCCUUACCAACAAUCUGAAAUGGUAUAGGAGAGUGCAUGAUGCAUUUUUCACGGGUAAUAUUGGUCGUUUGAUUAAACGCAAGAGAAAAGGAAGUUCAAGGUCUAUUCUAUAAUCUUAUAGCCAGCCAAUUGAAGGGUAAUAUCAUAUCCUCGGACGAGUUGUGGUUCCAGAUUUCCAGACGUCCUCUAACUCCUCUAAUGAUUUUGAUAUCAAAUUAGUCGAGGAAAAAGAAUAAGUCAUGGUUCGUCGUAAGAUAAAUCCAUCUGCUACUCUUUUGCCUCUUUAUGUGGUUAUAACUCUAGCAAACGUGAAGACGUUGAGAAUUAUGUACAAAAGGCAUAGAGUAUUGGGUUGUGAUGCUAUGGUGGAGAUUAAGGAGCUCAAUCACAAAGUCCCACAAUCUCUUUUCGACUGUGUCGAUGAUGUGUCAAUUGAUGACAAAGUACAAAGCUGCCUAUAGGAAAUGUGUAGUAACUAUGAUUUAUUGGUUAGAUAUUGAAGGUUGUCAGCGGGUUUGAGAAUAUUUUGAAUUUAUUUUGAACAUUUGAACUUGUUAUUAUCUUUUGUAAUCUUAAAUAUGAACUUCUUAUGACUUAUAUGUGUUUUAUAAGUAUAUGUUGUGUACAUAAAUUGGCUGAAAUUGGUAAAAUAUAUAAUGAAACAUGGGAAACUAUGUGUCAUGAUCUGCACACGAUCGCGUGCACACAAAGGCUUGUCAAUCGUGUGUAGGGACCGUGUGCACAAUCAUGGUACCCUAAAUUGUGCACACAAUAACUGCACAUGAUUGCAUGACAAGAUGCAUUACAUCAUGUGCACGAUCAUGACAUGCAUCCUGUGCACAAGAAAAUUUCACUUAGGGCUAUUUUUAAUUCCAUGUGUUAACGAUUUAAGUAUUUAUCAAUUCUCUUAUAGAUUAUUUCAACAUUUAUAACCACAUAACAUCUAAUUCGAAUGAGUAUAUAUAUUCUUCAUCAAAUUCAUCAGUAUAAAAGUUACUUUGUACAUAACAAGAUGUGAUAGUAAAUUACUAAUAUUUUCAUUAUCUCAAGAUUAUACACUAUACCAAUGAAUUUUGUUAAUGCAACAUAUAAUACAACAAUAUAUGAAUAUUUGUAUAAAUAAUUGCACAUACGAUCUCAAUCAUACGUAAACUGGUUAUUUGGCAUGCAUUUUAUGUGAAAUCGAUCGUGUUCAUAUGCACACGGUGCAGGCCACCACCGUGUCCAUAAUUACAGCGGUCAUGUGCACAUGUGGCACACAAAGUUGACAUGUGUACACACCAUGUAUAUUUAAGAAAAAGACAUAUUGCAAACGAUGGUUGCACACAAUGUCAGCCACCGUGUGCAUCCAUUGUUAUCUCGGUGCUCGCACACCGUGACACAUGGCACACAACCGCAAUACACGGUAUUUCGUAUUGUGCAUGUCAGGCAGCCCAAAAAACCUAUCUUUUCAACACAAUACAUUCACAUAAUGUUACACAAUGUCAAUAAUAUCAUAUAAUGUACACUAUAAAAACUUCUCCAAAUGAUACAUUACAUAGUGAUCUUCAACUCAUCCUUCGAUCAAAAUAAGACCCUCAGUGCGAGUUCCCUACAUAUCAGUGGACGAUGCUCGACCCAACCUAAAGUUCCCGUAUUGUCACAGUCGGUGAAUGGAAUACCCAAUUGCACAUUGCACGCAUAUACUUAGGCUCGCUUCUGGAAUGAUGGUUUAAUGAGAAGUUUCGAUUAUCCAAAAUCUUAUUCAUUUGUACCGGCUGUCGGACCCAAACAAGAAAUCUGAAAAUAGUGAAUCAAGCAAUGCCUUACGAUGUUCUUUCUCUUCGUCUUCAUCGUCUUCGUUAUAUUCCUCAUCUUCGCCAUCUUCCUAAUCUCCCUCAUAUUGCUCAUGCUCGUCAAGUACCAUACUUUGUAAUUGGUUCGUUUUCAAUCGCUCAAACCCUCUCCAAUCUAUUCCACGAGUUUAGAACGAUUUUGUUUGAUCACAUUUAUGAAGACAAAAAAUAAAUCCCCAGCUACAUAUGUCGAUCGCUCCCAAUGAUCGUUGUGAUGUAUCAAUACACGGGUCCACGACAUCUGAGAUUCAUAAAGAAGCCAAGAAAUUAUUUUAAAAAAAAAUAGUAAUUGAACAAGCUUCUACGACAUCCUCUGUAUUGCACACGACAACCAACGCACGGUGACUACGACCGUGUGCAUGUUUCGUGGCCACGGAAUAUGCACAAUGUAGCUAGCUAUGGUUGAAAGAAAACCCUAGUUUCUAUACCCCACAAUCAUCAAUAUAUAUUUACACUUUUUUUGCUUCUAAAUAUAUUCUUAAACAUGCAAAUAUAUUCUUUUAUAACCUAAUUAACCUCAACAAUUUUUCCUAUUUCGUGUCAUUAUACUACCAUCAUGUGCACCAUAUCUACAAUCGUGUGCAGUGGUCGUGUGUUGAUGAACUCUAAAAAAUUAGAAUUUUGCAUCAUAAAUUUAACUGCAUACCUUCUUUAUGAACCAAGAAACAUGAAAAAACUGUCCUAUUUGCACUUAAACACAUUUUUUUUAUCAAAUAAUUGUGUAAGUUUUACAAGGAUUUAGAGAGACCCAUUUUUUUUUACGUUAAUUAUGAUGAUGAUGAAGAAGAAGAAGAAGGAAAAAUAAAACGAAAUUAAAGAAAAAAAAGUCAACAUAUACCUUUAUUUAGGAGUAUUUUUAGUCUUUUUAUUAAUUUUGGUAUGAAAAACUUAUACUCUUAUGGGUGGGUGCCAAUAACUUCUAUAUUUUAUGCUUUGGUAUAAAAAGAUACAUUCGCACAUAUAACAAUGUGAAAUACACUAUUACAUGCAUUAGCAUUAUUUUGUGUAACAAUGUAUUUAUAGUGUUACACACUUUUCCACAAAAUUGUAAUAAGAUAAAGUGUGUAACAAUCGUUGGGACGUGGCGGAAAGGUCGAAGCGGCGGUGCCGUGGGAAAAUUGGGGCGACGAGGCAGUGAAGGAGAGAGAGAAGCGGCAAGAAGGUAAGAGUAUCGGGGGAGGACAAAUGCUUGGGUCGGUUGGGGCUCUUUCUAUUAGCAUAGGUCAAGAAUCUAAACACACUGAUUUUUUUUUUUUUUUUUGCGAUAAGGGCGGCGAUUAGGGAACCAUUUUGGAGGGGGGGAGGAUGGGGUCUACGACAAGGCCCCCCGGGGGAUGCGGGUGUCCUGAUGCGACAUCAUAAUGCAACGGAAGAUGGAGGAGUGAACGAGGCCGAGAUGUGGGGGUUUGGGGGAAAGAGGGAAAGAAAAGCUAACAUACAACGACGGGGUGGCACGCAUACAACAACGAGGAAGGAAGAAGGUGGGGGGGGGGAGUGGGAUGUUGGGGCAGCGCUGGGUAGAUGAAUGGAGGGGUUACAACGACGGGGAAGAAGGCGUACACCAACGGGGAAAGGAAGAAGAUGGAGGGAGUGGGGCGGCGCUGAAUUGGAGAGAGGGGGCUAGCUGGUGCUGAUUGGAGGGUGGGGUGGGUUUAAAUUUUCUUCUUUUAAUUAUUUUUCUUAAAACUUGAUUAAGGGUAAAUCAAUGAAUUUACAAUAGAAAGAUUAUUAUAUCAAAAAAAAUUUAUCUUUAUGGAUAUUAUUUUCUUUUUACCAAAUGAAAAUGUAUAAAUUGAUGUAUUAACUCAUAAUAGUUUUGUUGUUAUAAAAUUAUCAAUUAAUAUUAAGAUAUAGUUUGUUAAAUUAAAUUUAUUAACACUAAUAAAGAAAUUGUUAGAUUAUACAUAAUCUAUAUAAUACGUAAUAAUCUAUUUCAAAAUCCUAGUGGAGCCCAAUGCCCCCUCCCUUCGUUACUAGUUGUUGUAUUUCAAGUUAAAAAACUAGUUGUAGUCUCUUAAGCCCCAUACCUCGUAAGACAGAAGCCAAAUGUGAUUUGUCCAAAACUCUGCACCUCAUAAAUCAAAUAAUGUCUCUAAGUUCCAUAACUCAUGAUGAAGAGUAAUAUAUGUGACAAUCCUGAUAGUAACACUUGUGCAAUGUGACGUGGAAAUGGACACCAGGCUAGGGGAGAAAUAUAUCUACAAUUUUUUUUUGAUCGGAUAAAGUUAUGUUAGAU
rnacentral:lncRNA from 1 species